AGAAAAACAAAACCCGGCGCGUCGCCUGGGCAAUGGGUAAACCUCAGGAACUCUUAGGCUGAGGUGCUUGAAAUCUCUUAGGUUGAGGUGCUUGAAAGCGCUUACGCGUCGAAAAGGAACUAUCUGCCAACCUAGUGAAGUGUCGACGGAAUCUUGAAGUGAUGAGGUAGUUAAAGCGCAGAAGACGAAUCCAAGUUUCAUAAUUCCCAGGCUGAAUCUCUAACCAUCAGUCCCUUUUCCAAUGAGUCAGCUCUUCACAUGAAGUGACCAAAGUAUUGGAGGUUCAGCAUCAGUCCUUCCAGUGAAUAUUCAGAACUGAUCUCCUUCAGAAUGGACUGGUUGGAUCUCCUUGCAGUCCAAGGGACUCUCAAGAGUCUUCUCCAACACCACAGUUCAAAAGCAUCAAUUCUUCAGCACUCAGC
ensembl:lncRNA